CGCUAUCACUCCUACGGGAGGCAGCAGUGGGGAAUAUUGCACAAUGGGGGAAACCCUGAUGCAGCCAUGCCGCGUGUGUGAAGAAGGCCUUCGGGUUGUAAAACACUUUCAGUAGGGAGGAAGGUAGUGUAGUUAACACCUGCAUUAUUUGACGUUACCUACAGAAGAAGCACCGGCUAACUCCGUGCCAGCAGCCGCGGUAAUACGGAGGGUGCGAGCGUUAAUCGGAAUUACUGGGCGUAAAGCGCAUGCAGGCGGCCUGUUAAGUCAGAUGUGAAAGCCCGGGGCUUAACCUCGGAAUUGCAUUUGAAACUGGCAGGCUAGAGUCUUGUAGAGGGGGUAGAAUUUCAGGUGUAGCGGUGAAAAUGCGUAGAGAUCUGAAGGAAUACCAGUGGCGAAGGCGGCCCCCUGGACAAAGACUGACGCUCAGAUGCGAAAGCGUGGGGAGCAAACAGGAUUAGAUACCCUGGUAG
rnacentral:rRNA from 1 species